rnacentral:rRNA from 1 species
GACGAACGCUGGCGGCGUGCUUAACACAUGCAAGUCGAACGGAAAGGCCCUGCUUUUGUGGGGUGCUCGAGUGGCGAACGGGUGAGUAACACGUGAGUAACCUGCCCUUGACUUUGGGAUAACUUCAGGAAACUGGGGCUAAUACCGGAUAGGAGCUCCUGCUGCAUGGGGGGGGUUGGAAAUUUUCGGCGGUUGGGGAUGGACGCGCGGCUUAUCAGCUUGUUGGUGGGGUAGUGGCUUACCAAGGCUUUGACGGGUAGCCGGCCUGAGAGGGUGACCGGCCACAUUGGGACUGAGAUACGGCCCAGACUCCUACGGGAGGCAGCAGUGGGGAAUAUUGCACAAUGGGCGGAAGCCUGAUGCAGCAACGCCGCGUGCGGGAUGACGGCCUUCGGGUUGUAAACCGCUUUCGCCUGUGACGAAGCGUGAGUGACGGUAAUGGGUAAAGAAGCACCGGCUAACUACGUG